CAGUAGCCGCGGUAAUACGUAGGGUGCAAGCGUUGUCCGGAAUUAUUGGGCGUAAAGAGCUCGUAGGCGGUUUGUCGCGUCUGCUGUGAAAUCCCGAGGCUCAACCUCGGGCUUGCAGUGGGUACGGGCAGACUAGAGUGCGGUAGGGGAGAUUGGAAUUCCUGGUGUAGCGGUGGAAUGCGCAGAUAUCAGGAGGAACACCGAUGGCGAAGGCAGAUCUCUGGGCCGUAACUGACGCUGAGGAGCGAAAGCGUGGGGAGCGAACAGGAUUAGAUACCCCAGUAGUCCCUGUCUCUUAUAA
rnacentral:rRNA from 1 species